UACGUAGGGUCCGAGCGUUGUCCGGAAUUAUUGGGCGUAAAGGGCUCGUAGGCGGUUCGUCACGUCGGGAGUGAAAACUCGGAGCUUAACUCCGAGCCUGCUUCCGAUACGGGCAGACUAGAGGUAGGCAGGGGAGAGCGGAACUCCUGGUGUAGCGGUGGAAUGCGCAGAUAUCAGGAGGAACACCGGUGGCGAAGGCGGGUCUCUGGGCCGAUACUGACGCUGAGGAGCGAAAGCGUGGGGAGCGAACAGG
rnacentral:rRNA from 1 species